rnacentral:rRNA from 1 species
UACCAGCACCCCGAGUGGUCGGGACGAUUAUUGGGCCUAAAGCAUCCGUAGCCGGUCCUGCAAGUCUUCCGUUAAAUCCAGCUGCUUAACAGAUGGGCUGCGGAGGAUACUAUAGAGCUAGGAGGCGGGAGAGGCAAGCGGUACUUAGUGGGUAGGGGUAAAAUCCGUUGAUCCAUUGAAGACCACCAGUGGCGAAGGCGGCUUGCCAGAACGCACUCGACGGUGAGGGAUGAAAGCUGGGGGAGCAAACCGG